UACGUAGGGUGCGAGCGUUAAUCGGAAUUACUGGGCGUAAAGCGUGCGCAGGCGGCGCGUUAAGACAGGUGUGAAAGCCCCGAGCUUAACUUGGGAAUUGCGCUUGUGACUGGCGUGCUGGAGUGUGGCAGAGGGAGGUGGAAUUCCACGUGUAGCAGUGAAAUGCGUAGAGAUGUGGAGGAACACCGAUGGCGAAGGCAGCCUCCUGGGCCAGCACUGACGCUCACGCACGAAAGCGUGGGGAGCAAACAGG
rnacentral:rRNA from 1 species